UCCAGUUUUCACUUGCAGAGGCAGGAAGUCUUGGGUUCUCUUCCCGCGCAAAUGGGAGUUUCUCUGGAACUUGGAUUACGCAGAGGAUUCUAAUUUCUUUAAAACUUUAUUUUCAGGCAAUUUCCCCCGGAACCGUUUACCUCCAGAGGAUCAACGGAAUUGGAUCUGAAGGCUGGCCAUGACAUCUCAAGAUCAAAAUUCGGGUUUCCGUUCAGAUGAUAAUGGUCAAUCGAGCUUCCUUGGGAAGCUUCUGACUAUUGAUUCAAAGCUGGGGAACCAAGAUGUGGAGGGCUUAAAGUUUCUCUGCCGAGACUGCAUCUCCCACAGGCAGCUGGAGAAGUCCAGCUCGGCCUCAGACAUAUUUGAUCAUCUAUUGGAAGAGGAGCUGCUGAGUGAGGAAGAUCCCUUCUUCCUAGCGGAACUCCUCUACAUAAUCAAGCAGAAAUCGCUGCUGCGGUACCUCAACCAAAGCAAAGAGCAAGUGGAGAGUUUGCUGCCUACCCGAGGGAGGGUCUCUCUGUUCAGAAACCUGCUCUAUGAACUGUCAGAAAGCAUUGGCUCAGAGAACUUAAAGGACAUGAUCUUCCUUCUGAGGGAAUCGAUUCCCAAAAUCCAGAUGACCUCUCUAGGUUUCCUGGCAUAUCUGGAGAAACAAGGUCUAAUAGAUGAAGAUAAUCUGAGGUUACUGGAGGAUCUCUGCAGAAGAGUUGUACCUAACCUUAUGAGAAAGAUAGAAAAAUAUAAAAGAGAGAAAGCCUCCCAGGUAGUGACACCUCCAGUAGACAGAGGACCUGAGUCAUUGCAUCAAAGAAAGGAAGAACCAUUUUCCCGUUCAGACAUUGAAGAGUUGUUAGAAGCAUUACCAGCCUUACCGAAGGCAAGUGUGUACAGGAUGGAUCGGAAACACAGAGGCCACUGUGUUGUUGUCAAUAACCACAAAUUUACCUCAAUGUUGGAUAGACCAGGGACUGAUAAAGAUGCUGAGCACUUGAGGCAUGUGUUUGAGUGGCUUGGGUUCAGUGUACGUGUAUAUGAUAAUGUGACCAAAGGACAUCUGGACAAUGUUCUGCAGGAAUAUAAGUGUCAUCCAGGCCAUUCUGAUGGAGACUGCUUUGUGUUCUGUGUUCUGACCCAUGGGAAAUUUGGAGCUGUCUACUCUUCAGAUGGGACCCUUGUUCCCAUUCAGGAGAUCAUGUCUCACUUCACAGCCCAGCAAUGCCCUGGUCUGGCUCAUAAGCCCAAACUCUUUUUUAUCCAGGCCUGUCAAGGUGAAGAGAUACAACCUCCUGUUUUCAUUGAAGCAGAUGCUGUAAAUCCUGAGCGUGUACCCCCUUCCCUUCAGGACAGUAUUCCCGACGAGGCGGAUUUCCUUCUUGGCCUGGCCACGGUCCCUGGCUACGUAUCCUUUCGGCAUGUGGAGAAAGGCAGCUGGUAUAUUCAGUCUCUGUGUAAUCAUCUGAAGAGCUUGGUCCCAAGAAAUGAAGAUAUCUUAUCCAUCCUCACUGCUGUCAACAAUGAUGUGAGUCAACAAGCAGACAGAGAAGGAACAAAGAAACAAAUGCCCCAGCCCGCUUUCACACUACGGAAAAAGCUAGUAUUCCCUGUGCCACAGGAAAAACUUUAAUAGUAGAGAGUUCUCAUUGACUCUUGGACUUGAAAGGAGGCUUUGGUCAUCUAUUCCAGUCUCCCACCCAUCACAGGAAUCAAUGAUAGAUGCUCCUGCAGGAGGGAGGUUGAAAGUCCUCUCCUUGAGGCCUUUAUUUCCAGAUGAAGAAGUUGAGGCCCCAGGAGGCAAAGUGAUUUGCUACAGUCCCCCAGAUGGUUACUGUUUAUAGGAUUUUAUUUCCCACUUGAGUGAACUGGAAUAUCAUGGACAUAGUGGGGCUUUAGGAACAUUUCCUUGGGUAUGCAGAUGUUCAUGAAAGAUGUCAGGGAAGGAAGAAAAAUAACUCUCAGUGAUGCCUGAUUUUGCAGUUAUUCAUGUGAAAGUUGCAUUAAUUUAUGGUGUAUUUGCUAUGAGAACUACUCAUAAGAAGUUUUUUAUAAUAGUAAUUAUGUAGAUGGAGCUAGUCAUUAUGUGGAUUUGAAUGUAGCUUGACCAAGGAAAGGAGUCUAAUAGAUAUGUCAGAAUCAUCUUCCAAAACCAGUGUUUAUACAAGUCAAAGCUAACCGCUGGUGAUUACAGUCUUUGCCCAAUUGAAUAUACACAGCUUUUGGCCAUUUCAUAAAAGCCUUCUCUGGGAGUGAAGGAUGGUGUGAUUCAAAACAAAAAAGCAAAGAAUCUGGAGAGGGAAGCCUUAGGUUUCCGUUUGGCCUUGUGACUCCCUUGCUCUGAGACACUAAAUCAAGCUAGUUUUUCGAGCCUUAUCUAUGAAGUAGAGAAAAAUGACCUAUUAAAGAUAAGGAUUUAGGGGAAUGUAUAAUAUAUGUAUAUCAUAAUAAAUAUAUAUCUCUCCAUUUAACUCCAGUUGUUGCGAGGUACUAUAAGACCGUUAGGUGGCAGAUGCCUCUGGCAGUAACCUCAAUGGAAACAGCAGAGUUUGAGUUCCUUUGCGUCUAAUUCCAGCUGAGUUUUAGCCGCAGAUCAACCCUAGCAAUCCCCACCCGUGUCCUCUGAGUGAAGCGCUGGUUCUUCCCUCACUGAUCACAGUGUCCCCAGCAGUAAUAGGCUAACUCUUGGCUCUGAGUCCAGUUGGACAAAACACCGCUAAGGAGCUCUCCUUCAGCAGCAGCCUCUGGGGUUCGAUGCUGAAGUGCCCCGGUCCUGUGGGUCUAGUCCAUAUUGCCCUUGUGCUGGAGCUUAGUGCUUAUGCAAGGUUAAAUUCUGGAAUCAGGAAACGAGCCCACGAGCUUUCUUUUUAGACUUCUCCAGCAAGCACUGGAGUCCCUAGACGUUGAUGACUCUAAGUCAUGGACCUAUGCGGACACCAGGAACACACCCAUCCUUCAAUCAUUUCUCCUAAACGGAAUGUGUACACACUUGUCCCUUGUGUGUGUGUGUGUGUGUGUGUGUGUGUGUGUGUGUGUGUGUGUAUGGGAAUUGAGAGCAAAACACUAGAGGUGAUUUGGUCCCAGGUAUUUGGCAGUGGCCAUCGUCAGCCCAGACAUUUAUGAAAGAAGUGUGCAGAUUGAGUGAGGUCUCUGUAUAUUUUGCGUAGUUGUGCUCAACCUACAAGAGCUAUGGUUAAUUUUUUCUUUCUUUUCUGCUUUUUUUUUUCUUGAAAGUUUAGCUUCUACCAAAACAAUGAAGGAUGAGGAAACAGUUUAUAGAAUAUUAUGCAAAUGUUAGUUGUUUAAGAAUGAUACUACUGGUAUAACUGUUAUUAGAGAUGCUAGUCGCCGGAGCAUCCUCCUGAUCUCUGCUGCAGGGCCUCGCCAUGCGAGUGGGCAGGUUUGAUAUUGCCAGGGUUCCCCGUAGCCAGUGCUCAGGUAAUGCAGACCUGCAUUACGGUGAUACGGUGUGGUUACUGAUCUAUCAGAACAGCCAUUGACCAGUAUAACACUAUGGGGAAUGCCACUGAAGAGCAGCUCUUUAUCAGUGAUCCUGUCUCCACUGAGGUAGACCAAACGAGAAGCUGACCUCAUUUGGUAGAUAACUUCUGUGCCAUACUUGAGUCCUAAAAUCUUCCAGGACCGAUACUUUCUGAAUGAUUUAGUCAUGUUGUUCUUAACCUGGAAUUCUUGGGUCCUUGGAUGUUUAUGGAUUUAUUCUCAGGGUGUAUGAGUCUUCCACCUUCCGUUUGAAAUGCCUCAAUUUCUUUUUGGUGAUAAUCUUCUAUUAAUAGAGGUGGAUCCUGGCUCUUCUGCAUGAUCUCUUUGUAUUUGAGCAUUGACAAACAACUUUUGUGUCCACAUCCUGGUGCCCACGGGAGUGAUGAACUUUAUAUUGAACUUUUUAAUGUAGCACGGAUUAGGGUUCAGGGCUAGAGGUCCUCAGACCUGUUGUCAGGUACCAGCAGUUAAUCUACCUGAAACCUGCUCCAGUCCAUCCUCUUAAGUCAUGACAGGCUCCUAGUCCAUCAUCCCUCAGCCCCUGCUGAACUCAGCGGAGGGAACUCACACUACACCCAAAAUCAUGGAUUUGGGAGCUUGGAAGGACAGUGGCUAGGGAACCCGUGGUCCAGCCUUCAGGGUCAAAUGGCUUACGCAAGUCUUACAGCUCUUAGUGCAGGAUUUGCAAUUGUGUGUAUCUCCGGCUUUGCCAAACAAUUGUCACUAUCUUCCCGUGAAGUACAUGUUGCUUGUGACAAGUUAUUUGACUUUGUUUCUGGUAGGGUCUGGCUCUCCUCAAAAGUCUGCAGUUUGCCUUUAAGAACCGGGUAAGAAUAUCGCAUGUGUGGUAAGGACACAUUUGUAUCUUUAAACAGCAGCCAAAUUCCUGAAAAUGGAACCCUUUUUAAAAAGUACUAGGAGAAAUUCCUUGUUUGAAGAAAGACUGAUUUGCCAGCAUAAACAACCACUUUGUAACAUAACUUUUGCAGAUAUGAAUUUUUAAGAGAAUUUUUCCUCUUUUAAAAUUUUUAAAUUAUAUGAAUUUUUACUUUUUAAAUCUAUUUUUGAAUAAGUAAUACCUUUACAUUGCUCAAAGAGAAUACAAAAAGAUAUUCAAGAUUAGUCUUGCCUGCCUUUUUGUCCACCAGAUGCCCAGUCCUCCCACCUCUGAAUCCCAGAGGUGAUCUCAGGAUUUGUUAACGCAGAUGCAAAUACAACAAAUACAAAUAUAUGUGUAUUUUAAAGGAGGCAUUUCUUGAAACAAAGGACAUGCACUGUGAAACUCAAAACCCUCAUUUGGUCUCAUUUUAAAUGAUUCUGUAAGAUGCCUGGAAAUACUUGUGCAACUCUACAGUUGGAAUAACUUGAUGAGUUUUGUGGACUGAGUACCUGUAAAUAGUAGUAAUUGACCAAUAAAGGAUUUUUUUUUCCUUUUUA